rnacentral:rRNA from 1 species
CUUGGUCAUUUAGAGGAAGUAAAAGUCGUAACAAGGUUUCCGUAGGUGAACCUGCGGAAGGAUCAUUAUCGAAAUAAGAAAAGGCGAUGGAGCUGUCGCUGGCCCUUGGCCGUGCACGCUCGUCGUCCCCUCAUUUCUCCAUCUCUUUGUGCAUCGCUUGUGUAGAUCAUUAGGACUGCUUUGCGAAUGGGGGAGACCCUUUUGGUGGGGCUUUCCUUGGAUCUACGUCCUCUUCACAUGCUCCAGUGUAAUAUUAGGAAGGAAAUUUAUGAAAUUGUUAUACAACUUUCAGCAACGGAUCUCUUGGCUCUCGCAUCGAUGAAGAACGCAGCGAAAUGCGAUAAGUAAUGUGAAUUGCAGAAUUCAGUGAAUCAUCGAAUCUUUGAACGCAUCUUGCGCUCCUUGGUAUUCUGAGGAGCAUGCCUGUUUGAGGGUCAUUAAUAUAUCUCGACCACACCUGCGUGUGUGGCUCGGACUUGGGGGGAUGGUGCAGGCUCCAGCUCUGUGGUCUGCUCCCCUGAAAUGCAUUGGCGGUUUUUUUAUGACCUCUGCUCUGGGUGUGAUAAUCUAUCUGCAUCCAAGCGAGUCGUGCUGCCAUCGUGUGGCCCCUUUUGUUCUUGACCUCAAAUCAGGUAGGACCACCCGCUGAACUUAAGCAUAUCAAUAAGCGGAGGA